GCCCGCCUAGCUCAAUCGGAUAGAGCGUCAGACUCUUAUGUAAGGCGGGUUGAUUCCUACCAUCGGAAUCUGAAGGCUGCGAGUUCGACCCUCGCGGUGGGCU